rnacentral:rRNA from 1 species
GUCUACGGCCAUACCACCCUGAACACAGCCAAUCUCAUCUGAUCUCGGAAGCUAAGCAGGGUCGAGCCUGGGUAGUACUUGGAUGGGAGAAAUGCUAAACUCUCAGGGUUUUGUGCAUU